CCUCCCCCCUCUCUCUCGUAUUUUCCCCCAAAAUGAAACCCUAUUCUCUCUAUGUGUUUUUUAAUCUGAAAGCAUAUGAAGUCCUUAACAAUCAACUCUUUCAAAUUUAUGUCUUAAAGUCUGAAGACUCACGUGAUAUCUAUUUGAACUGGGUGAAGACUCACAAACUAACAAUAACAAUGGUUAUCAAUUUGAACAGAUUGUCUCACUGGAGGAAAUACGGUUCACUGUAUAUUGGUUAAAGAGGGUUUGAAGAGUUGAACUUACAAGUCAAGAUGCAAGUUUUGAAGACUUCAUGCAAUAUUGUUUCACUUGCAAGGGUAGUUAGGAAAGCAGUUAUUUUUGCUAAAAGAUUGUGUAAAGAGCACGGUGACAUAUGGUUCAUGGUUAUACAAUUACCAAUGGGAUGUAAUACGCUUUUUUGUAAUUCAUAACCAAUUUAUACAUGUACAUUUGUAUAUUUGUAUAUGAAAGCAUGAUUUUAUUGAUA